UGGCGAAAAUGAUAAAUAUCCCACCUGGCGAGUACGUUCACGGUACUAAGACACUAAGCAAUGGAUAGUAUCGUGCCAGCAGCCGCGGUAAUACGAAAGGUGCAAGCGUUACUCGGAAUUACUGGGCGUAAAGCGCGCGUAGGCGGUCUCGUAUGUCGAUUGUGAAAGCCCCGGGCUCAACCUGGGAACAGCAGUCGAAACUGCGAGACUUGAAUGUUGGAGAGGGUGGGGGAAUACCUAGUGGAGAAGUGAAAUUCGUAGAGAUUAGGUGGAACACCAGAGGCGAAGGCGCCUGCCUGGCCAAACAUUGACGCUAAGGCGCGAAAGUGCGGGGAGCAAACAGGAUUAGAUACCCUGGUAGUCCGCACUGUAAACGAUGGACACUAGGCGUUCGGAGAGUUAACCCUCUGAGUGCCAAAGUUAACACAUUAAGUGUCCCGCCUGGGAAGUACGGUCGCAAGACUAAAACUCAAA
rnacentral:rRNA from 1 species